AUGUAAUGUAAUGCCUACAAUGUUAAUGCACCAUAUUCCAUUAGAAAUAUGCAGUUAAGCGCGCUUGGGCUAGAGUAGUACUGGGAUGGGUGACAUCCCUGUACAUCCUAGUGUUUUACAUG
rnacentral:rRNA from 1 species